rnacentral:rRNA from 1 species
CAGCAGCCACGGGAAUACGAAGGGUGCAAGCGUUACUCGGAAUUACUGGGCGUAAAGCGUGCGUAGGUGGUGGUUUAAGUCCGUUGUGAAAGCCCUGGGCUCAACCUGGGAAUUGCAGUGGAUGCUGGGUCACUAGAGUGUGGUAGAGGAUAGUGGAAUUUCCGGUGUAGCAGUGAAAUGCGUAGAGAUCGGAAGGAACAUCUGUGGCGAAGGCGACUAUCUGGGCCAACACUGACACUGAGGCACGAAAGCGUGGGGAGCAAACAGGAUUAGAUACCCCGGUAGUCCCUGUCUCUUAUAC